rnacentral:lncRNA from 1 species
ACAAGAUCUAAAGUGUGUUAGGCACUGACCUUUAGAGAAAUUUCGGCCAUCUUUUUUUCAGCACGAGCUUCAGGCUUGAUUUUCCUCUAAGAUACAACAGAUCCGAUCUAAUAGAGAUGCUGUGACUCCAGCAAAUCCUUGGUGAACUCAUAUUUGGUCAGAAGUCAUCCAGAAAAGAAGAUAGAAAAGAAGGAGAACACAAUUAAGAGAGU